GAUGAACGCUGGCUACAGGCUUAACACAUGCAAGUCGAGGGGAAACGACGGGGAAGCUUGCUUCCCCGGGCGUCGACCGGCGCACGGGUGAGUAACGCGUAUCCAACCUGCCUCUGACUGAGGGAUAACCCGUCGAAAGUCGGCCUAAUACCUCAUGGCAUCGUCUGCGGGCAUCCAACGACGAUUAAAGAUUUCAUCGGUCAGAGAUGGGGAUGCGUCUGAUUAGCUUGUUGGCGGGGUAACGGCCCACCAAGGCGACGAUCAGUAGGGGUUCUGAGAGGAAGGUCCCCCACAUUGGAACUGAGACACGGUCCAAACUCCUACGGGAGGCAGCAGUGAGGAAUAUUGGUCAAGGGGCGAGAGCCUGAACCAGCCAAGUAGCGUGCAGGAUGACGGCCCUAUGGGUUGUAAACUGCUUUUAUGCGGGGAUAAAGUGAGGGACGUGUCCUUCAUUGCAGGUACCGCAUGAAUAAGGACCGGCUAAUUCCGUG
rnacentral:rRNA from 1 species